rnacentral:rRNA from 1 species
CCUACGGGUGGCAGCAGUGGGGGAUAUUGCACAAUGGGGGGAACCCUGAUGCAGCGACGCCGCGUGGGUGAAGAAGCGCCUCGGCGCGUAAAGCCCUGUCAGCAGGGAAGAAAAUGACGGUACCUGAAGAAGAAGCCCCGGCUAACUACGUGCCAGCAGCCGCGGUAAUACGUAGGGGGCAAGCGUUAUCCGGAUUUACUGGGUGUAAAGGGGGCGCAGACGGCGAUGCAAGCCAGGAGUGAAAGCCCGGGGCCCAACCCCGGGACUGCUCUUGGAACUGCGUGGCUGGAGUGCAGGAGGGGCAGGCGGAAUUCCUGGUGUAGCGGUGAAAUGCGUAGAUAUUAGAAAGAACACCAAUAGCGUAGGCAGGUUACUGGGACGGUUCUGACACUAAGGCACGAAAGCGUAGGGAGCAAACGGGAUUAGAUACCCUAGUAGUC